rnacentral:lncRNA from 1 species
GUGGGGUUAAUGCCAUUAUCAGCCAGGGCAGGGGUCUCCAACAGACGAGCCCUCGCCGGCCAGAUGGGGACACUCGUCUGCCGCCCGCCGGGGCCACAAAGGAGGGUCCCCUGGCAGCAGCUGGUCCCGAGGAAGAGGUUAAGGAGCCCUGACGAACGCCACUGGCAUGCCUGGAAGCUGCAGCUCCCUGCUGCGUGCCAGCCCCGGCCGGGGCCGGCGCCCUCCCCCGCCCGUCCCAGCGCCUGUCCUGCAGCUCCAGAGCACGGGAAUUAACACUCCUGGUACCUUGUGAGAGUCAAAUCGAGCUGGGGCCACUCCGUGUGCCGGGCUCCUGGUGCUCACCGUGUGUCCUGGGACAGGAAAGGGCUACAAAGAACUGGAGAAGCCUGGGGGAGCCAAGCCUCCAGUAAAGCCCCAAAACAGCAGCACCCCUGCUUGGGAGACACUGAGACCUCCAAGAACAUCCUGGCAUGUCCCAAUUUCUCAGGCCACAGCUCUUGCCAGGCCCAGCUGUGCGAUGGAGCCAGCAAAUGAUUUCUGUCUUUGAUUAAACCUGAAGCCAAGCCCCCAGUACUUCACCAGUCUGUCAGCCCUGUUUGUCCCUCCUGAUGGACCCCCAGCUCAGGGUGAGCCUCCCAGUUUGGGACCAGGGUCUUAAGGGCACUUUGGAUUCCCUGUUUCCAUUAGAAGACACCACUUGCAGUACUUGUCUGGGGUCUCUAUCCCACAGGAGUUAUCAUAGGAAUAUUAGUUGCUGAAGCAGGGGGUCCCACAGCCAGGCAGAAGUGGUGGCUGUGGGAUGUGCUCUGUGCUGGGCAUCACUGAGCACCAGCCUUGCUGCACUCACAGGGUGAGGCUGCUUCCCCAAAGGAGGUGAAGUCAAAGUGACCUGGAUCUAAGUGAUGCCUUGAAAGGCUACCUGAAACAGAGGCUAGACAGUGUUAAAGGAAUAAAGUAGGAGUUUAAAAAAAGGUCUUCAAAGGAUACACCUUGGGCAGUACAAGAGCCUGGCCAUGACUCCACCCAAGAGGGAGGACGUGUCCUGAGUUUUCACACUUUUAUAAGUUUUGAUCUAUUUCCAUAUUGGGGUUAAUUGUCCAAUUCCAGCUCCAGGUUAUGCAGUCCCAUCCUUUCCCAGACUGCUCUCCUCAAUUCUCUGCUGUUUACACUUUCUGGACCUGAAGCUGCAGUCCUUGGUUCUCGGACUGGAAAAGGAUUGUUUUGUCUGACUGAGCUGUGAGGAGAACUUGCUAACAUUUUAUAUGAAGUUCAGAGUUAUAAACUAAUGCAGUACAGAAUCUGGAAAAUAUGAAAGCUAAACCUUAAGGCAUCACAAGGACCGUGCUGCUUUCUCCAUCCCAGCAGCAGGACGGGAAAGGCAUUGGAACCAUCUGGAAGGCUUCCAUGCAUCCAGGCCAUGCUUAUCAGCAUCCGUGCCUCGGGGCUCAGAGCUGAGAAAUGAAAGGGAACAACCCAAACUGUGCCAUUCUGCUGCACUGAGAGCGGUGUUCAGUGAUCCCACUGCUGGCUCAGAUGGGAAUGGGCCCUUAGAGGCUGGAAUUAUCAAAAGCAGCUCUUGGGAAUGAAAAAAAGCUGGACAAAUUGCUGAUUGCAGCUGC